AGGGUACAAGCCCUUGGUUUCUUUAAGAUUGUGAUUUAUUUUGCAAUUUAAAUCUUUGUUUUGACAUAAAUUUGAGAUUCAGUUCUUUAAGAAACUUUUUCUUCUUCAACAAUGGCGGCUUGAUUUGAUUUUUGCUCUCUCUCAUAGGUAAAACUCGUUUCAUCUACGUAGCAUCGAGUAUCCGAAUGGAUAUAUUUAAAUGGAUUCGUUAUUAUGGACACUAAAAAAUUAUUUGUUGAU
rnacentral:sRNA from 1 species